CUCCUAUAUGAUUGAGCACAUCGGUGAUUGAGUUUGACGUCAGGAUUAGAUUUGUCCAUAUGCAUCGUAGAAUACCUUAUUUUUGGAUCUUUUGAAAUGCACACAUGCUACGUCAGUAUGAGCACCUGCUUGUAAAAAAAAAAAAAAAAAAAAAAAAAAAAGAUCUCAUCAAAAGUGUGGACGGCUACACACAAAAGGAGGGGAGAUAAAUCAAUCCAAUCAGUUACAAUC
rnacentral:lncRNA from 1 species